rfam:Brachypodium distachyon strain Bd21 chromosome 2, whole genome shotgun sequence.
AUACUAUUCCCUUCGUUCAACAAAGGAUGUCUCAAUUUUGAUCAAAUUUGAAUGCAUCUAUAUACUAAGUCAUGUCUAGAUACAUCCAAAUUUUGACAAACUUGAGAGACAUCUUUUGUUGGACGGAGGAGUAUAUA